UACGUAGGGUGCGAGCGUUAAUCGGAAUUACUGGGCGUAAAGCGUGCGCAGGCGGUAAGUUAAGUCUGAUGUGAAAGCCCCGGGCUCAACCUGGGAAUGGCAUUGGAAACUGGCUUGCUGGAGUGUGGCAGAGGGGGGUGGAAUUCCGCGUGUAGCAGUGAAAUGCGUAGAGAUGCGGAGGAACACCGAUGGCGAAGGCAAUCGCCUGGACCUGUACUGACGCUCAUGCACGAAAGCGUGGGGAGCAAACAGG
rnacentral:rRNA from 1 species